GGCCAUAGCUCAGAGGUAGAGCACUUGCUUUGCAUGCAGAAGGUGCCAAGUUCAAUCCCCGGCAUCACCA